AAAAAUAGAAACAUGAGUUUAAUCAAUUAUCGCGUGGAAAGGAAAUUAGUUCCUACCUACAUGUGUUUGUAUGAACUUUAACUGACUUUCCAUAACAAAUUGUAAUUGAUUUUAUGAAAUAUUAGUAAUUUCAAAGCAGUUUUAUUUUGUUUUUAACAUUUUUAACACACAUUUCACAAUUUUGAGGUAUAUUGAGGUUGAAGAAGUUUGGAUCCUCUCCAUUCCAUAUCCACUAACCCAUUUUCAGAAUAACAUCCUUCAAGGGGAUCUGUAGGUCGAUGAUAAUAGAAACUCGUGAAACAAAAUGAAAAAACAAGGUCAAAAAGGUUUCGAAGUUCGGGUAAUUAGAACGUGUCUUCAACUACAUAUAUGUAACUGAUUCAAUCUCAAUGCGCUGUGGGCGCUACUAAACAAUAUAAUCCAUUCUGAUCCUAUCAAGAACUACUGUUAGUUGGGAAAUGACAGAGCUCGUAGUGACAACAGAUACCCUUUAACGUCCUUCCAUUGGCCAAAGAAAUACAUUUGCAUUAAUUAAUGUUGACUAAAUGGGAGAAGAGGCAGGACCAAUCGGGAAAGGGAGCAGAAAGGGAGUCUAUGACCUAUAAUAUGAAUAAACAACAGCUCAUAUGCCCAUCCUUCAUUAUACUUGUAUAUCUUAAACAUUACUCCAACUCAUAACAGUGUAUCUUUGUGCCUAAAAUAGAUAAAAAUGAGAACUUGACCUAGCCCCCAUUCAGGAUUUGUCCGGAAACUAAUAGGACUGAGUCGAUUUAAAAAAAUUUAUUGAACCAAUCGUUAUAAUUCUUUAAAAACUUUCAAAAUAGGCUCCUUCUGCGUCGAUGCAGCACUGCCAGCGCGAUUUUCAAGCAUUGAAGGCGUCACGGAAGGCAUUGUCCGGAAUAGCCUUGAAAGCUGAGGUGCAUGCUGCUUGGAUCCCCUUUCAUCGCCUUUUCAGGCAAGGAAACAAAAAAAGUCCGCGGGGCCACAUCUGGACUGUAGGGCGGCUGCGGAAACGUUGGGAUGCCGGCCUUGGUUAAAUAGCUGUUCACAAAAAAGGCGGUGUGAGCCGGGACGUUGUCGUGGCUCACAACAACUUUCAAUCGACUGCGAUGUAUUGUCGGAAACGAUUGACCCUUCGUUUGAGUCUCUUGAGGACUUCCACGUAAAACUUGGCGUUGACGGUUUGUCUAGAAGGAACAAAUUCAUGGUGGACGAUGCCUUUGAUGUCAAAAAAGACAAUGAGCAUCGUUUUCACUUUGGAUUUGCUCAUUCUUUCGGUCUUCAUCAGCGACCUCUUCCUGACCUUCCAAAGAGGUCUGGUGCCACCGAAACACAACCCUUCUUGCUCAAGCAACAUCUGGUAUUUAAUCGCGCACCUCUGUUCUAACGAACGCUGCAUUUUCGGCUUGCACCACUCACAAAAACACGUCGCCCGAAAAAGUUUGUCCUGACUCUCCAGGUGCUCGGAGACAACUGACCAGCCGCUCGUUCGUUAGCUAGGAACGUCCUCUACCAAAUCCAGUCGGUGCGCGCUCGCACCAAAGUACAGCCACGGUGGAAGAAAAUCAGUCCUAUUACUUUCCGGACAAACCCUGUAUAGCUAAAAUCAGGGGUUUCGAUAAUAUCCGGCUGUCUUUUCUCCAUAUGAUGGGUGAUUGUAUGUGUGGUACCUUGGUAAAACUUGGGCAUAUUGUUUUAAUGUAUGGCAUCUUAGUAGCAUGCGUAGUAGUAGAUAAAAUCAGAUCAAUACUACCCCCAACUCCCGUAUACUACAUUUAAUGAUUUUAAUUUUUCUAACAAAUCUUAUGCCGAAUUUGUCAGCCAUGUUUCCGAUCCUUUGGUUGACUCCGAACUAAGCUCUUCCUUACUUGUUUUUGAAAUACACUUUCAACAUGAUCAUGCCUCUAUAUCUAUACAUAUAGUAUAUUCAUUGAUGUUGGAGCCACCCACUAUAAAGAGAAUCAAGCUGAUCGCAUUGCGCUGGAAGUCGGCGUCAGCAUAUUCAAAUAUUCUAUAUUGCUGCAUAAUCUUACUUAAACGUAAAGUUGUUGGGGUAGCAGCUAGUAAAUAUUUUUUUUUAGCAAAUUAGUCGAUCGAUUUUAAAAAAUUUUAAGAUCCCACUUUAUUUAGAAAUUUAGUGUAAAAAUAUUGUAUGUUGCCUAAAAUCUUGAUUUAAUUGAUAUAUUCGUUAUUUGUGUUUCGUUUUAUUAUUUUUUUCAUACAAAUAUACAGUUUAUUAGAUGGCUACUACACAUAUUACAUAUUUAGUUAUGUUUAUUUUUUUCAUUCGCUUAUAUUUUACAUGCUAAUAUUACAAUUAAAAAACAAGAAGCUUUAAACUUUUGAAACUUCAUAGUUUAGUGGCAAUGGCAGAUUUUUUGUGUUCAUUUUUGUUUAUAUAAACAUUAUAAUUAACACUUGGGCAAGUACUUUUCGACUACAUGUUAUUAUCGCUAGAAACUACAAUGUGACCGUCAUGUUGAAGAUGAGCAUUUUCUAGUACUCGUUAACUGGGUAUAUAGGUAUUUUAAGGAAUUCAUAGCAAUUGGUUACCAGUAAGGUUUUCUUUGUUCUA